UUCCCUUUGUCAUCCUAUGCCUGAGAGUUCCCUGGAGGCUGGGACGGUGAAGGGACGC
rnacentral:pre_miRNA from 1 species